rnacentral:rRNA from 1 species
UACGUAGGGUGCGAGCGUUAAUCGGAAUUACUGGGCGUAAAGCGUGCGCAGGCGGUUUUGUAAGACAGAGGGGAAAUCCCCGGGCUCAACCUGGGAACUGCCUUUGUGACUGCAAGGCUUGAGUGCGGCAGAGGGGGAUGGAAUUCCGCGUGUAGCAGUGAAAUGCGUAGAUAUGCGGAGGAACACCGAUGGCGAAGGCAAUCCCCUGGGCCUGCACUGACGCUCAUGCACGAAAGCGUGGGGAGCAAACAGG